UACGUAGGGGGCUAGCGUUGUCCGGAUUUAUUGGGCGUAAAGAGCGUGUAGGCGGCCAUGUAGGUCCGGUGUGAAAACUCGAGGCUUAACCUCGAGAUGUCAUCGGAAACCAUUUGGCUAGAGUCCGGAAGAGGAGAGUGGAAUUCCUGGUGUAGCGGUGAAAUGCGCAGAUAUCGGGAAGAACACCCGUGGCUAAGGCGGCUCUCUAGUACGGUACUGACGCUGAGACGCGAAAGCGUGGGGAGCGAACAGG
rnacentral:rRNA from 1 species